GGGCGGUUAGCUCAGGGGUAGAGCACUCGCCUUACAAGCGAGGGGUCACUGGUUCGAAACCAGUACCGCCCACC
rnacentral:tRNA from 1 species